GAAUUCAACUCCUACGGGAGGCAGCAGUGGGGAAUUUUGGACAAUGGGCGCAAGCCUGAUCCAGCAAUGCCGCGUGAGUGAAGAAGGCCUUCGGGUUGUAAAGCUCUUUUGUCAGGGAAGAAACGGGAUUGGAUAAUACCUAGUCCUAAUGACGGUACCUGAAGAAUAAGCACCGGCUAACUACGUGCCAGCAGCCGCGGUAAUACGUAGGGUGCAAGCGUUAAUCGGAAUUACUGGGCGUAAAGCGUGCGCAGGCGGUUGUGUAAGUCAGAUGUGAAAUCCCCGGGCUCAACCUGGGAAUUGCAUUUAAGACUGCCCGGCUAGAGUGUGUCAGAGGGGGGUAGAAUUCCACGUGUAGCAGUGAAAUGCGUAGAUAUGUGGAGGAAUACCGGUGGCGAAGGCAGCCCCCUGGGAUAACACUGACGCUCAUGCACGAAAGCGUGGGGAGCAAACAGGAUUAGAUACCCGAGUAGUCCAGGCGUU
rnacentral:rRNA from 1 species